rnacentral:tRNA from 1 species
GCCUGGGUGGCUCAGUCGGUUGAGCAUCCGACUUCAGCUCAGGUCACGAUCUCACGGUCCGUGAGUUCGAGCCCCACGUCGGGCU